GACGAACGCUGGCGGCGUGCCUAAUACAUGCAAGUUGAGCGAUGAAGAUUGGUGCUUGCACCAAUUUGAAGAGCAGCGAACGGGUGAGUAACGCGUGGGGAAUCUGCCUUUGAGCGGGGGACAACAUUUGGAAACGAAUGCUAAUACCGCAUAACAACUUUAAACAUAAGUUUUAAGUUUGAAAGAUGCAAUUGCAUCACUCAAAGAUGAUCCCGCGUUGUAUUAGCUAGUUGGUGAGGUAAAGGCUCACCAAGGCGAGGAUACAUAGCCGACCUGAGAGGGUGAUCGGCCACAUUGGGACUGAGACACGGCCCAAACUCCUACGGGAGGCAGCAGUAGGGAAUCUUCGGCAAUGGACGAAAGUCUGACCGAGCAACGCCGCGUGAGUGAAGAAGGUUUUCGGAUCGUAAAACUCUGUUGGUAGAGAAGAACGUUGGUGAGAGUGGAAAGCUCAUCAAGUGACGGUAACUACCCAGAAAGGGACGGCUAACUACGUG
rnacentral:rRNA from 1 species